CCAAUGGGGAUGAGAGGGAGGAGUGGACCCCGGGGACCAGCCUAUCACUCGAGGCCCUUCAUGGAACUUUCUAGGUGGAGAGGAGAGGCCUCAGAGUGACAGACAGGCCCCAGGGUGGGGUCAGGGGAAUGACUCAGCAGGAUUUAAUGCCAGGGUCCUUCCUGAGGCUCCGGUUCUGGAUGAUCUUCAUCUCCGGUGGACUCUUGAGCCGAGAGGAACACUGCCUGGCUCACACUGUGGAUGCUCUUAUCUUUACUGUAAGGACAGAGAUCAGAGGAAGCACUGUCCCCAGCUCACCACAACUCUUGGACACCCUCUUGGUGAAUGCUGUGUGAAGCAAUGAUGGGCAUUUUGGCAGGAUGGAUACGGUGCUGCAAGGAACUUUGAUUUGUCCUCAUGUAGCAAGAAAUGAAGUUAUUAACCUUGGGACUGCAUCAACUUCAGAAGACUGAUGGAAAAAUUUUGCUCCAAAAGUCAAGACACAAACCAAGAUGAGAUCCAACUCAAAUACUGUUAUUGUGGACUGGCAUGUUUGUUUCACUGUCUGCUUACAUGAAAAAAGACAAGAAUUCAAAAAAAUACUAAAAAAUACAAAAGGAAAAAGAAACUGCUUUAUUCUGUUCUAAAAACCUUCAAGAUUUCCAUGGCUUUAGUUAGUGAGUAGUCUUUUCAAAAUCCAUACUCAAAUUUUCACACCAAUAUAGGUCUUUCCAAAGGUUUAGUCACACCCAAUCUAUAUCCUAAACCUACAUAUUAAGGUGCUUAUAUAUGCACUAAUAUUUUAUUUUCUACAUAGUAGAUAUUAUAAAACAUUGUAGUUAAUAAUGUACUUUAAUACAUGCUGCCAUGCAUUGAAUCUUUCCUUGCAAUCCUGAAAUCAAGGGCUUAAUUACCUGAUAUUCCAGGCACUGGGGUUUUUUUUUGAGGGAGGCUGUUUUCCUUUAAUUAAGCAUGUUGUGAUGUAUUGGAAUUUCACAAGUUUUUUAAAACACUCAUGAAUGAGUCUGUAUUAGCUACCAGUAAUAUUUAGAUGUCAAAAAAAGUUGGAUUUUGUAAUUGGUAAUGAAAAUACUUUAGCACAUAAAAUAACACUAAUUUUCAAAUGUUUUUAGUUUAUUUAAAUGCUAUCAUCAAAGCACAUUU